ACACACCUGCUCAGAGUGACGUAUAAGGCUGCAGACCUUGCUUUAAUCCCGAUCCAGUGCUUUCAGGAUUACAGCUGCUCUCUCCUCUCACUAUCUACAGUCACCUGCUGCCUCUCCAAGGCAGCAGAGUGCACUUAUCUGGGGUGCCCCAUGCAGUGCUCUGGGCUUCUGGUCCUGUGGUCAGCAUGGACAGUGUCCAUAUGGUGGCAUGCAGAUCACCAUGGGCCCUGCUGGGAUAAGAAUGGCAGCGGUUAGGUGUGUGAUGAGGAAGGUGACAGGAUCCUGUGUGAACUAACUGAUAGAGGAAGCUAUUCCUGCCCAUUCCCACGGACCAGCCCAAAAAACAUAUGAUGGAGUGUCAGGAACAUUAGCAACACUGCUGACAAUGCAGAAAGUGACAAGUGUGUUCGCUGUCACCUCUCUAUAGUGGCAAAGCAAAGCCCUCAUGUGUGUGUCUACAUGCACUUGCUCUGACAGACAUACACACAUGCACUGCGAGCAGCACUGAAGCUGUGGUCGCCAGUGGCUGUUCUACAUCUCAAACUAAUUUAAUUGAUGUGCUGAUGGCCUUUUCUGCACACUUUGAUCAUAAAACCUGGAAGGAAACAGAACAAAGCACUGACAGGAAGACAGUCACCAUGCGGCCAGUCGAUUGCAUGUGUCUGCUCUUUGCACUAAAAGAAACAAGGAGUGACAUGCUUUGUCUGGCGUUGAACUCGUGCUAUGGACAAUGGAUGCCCUGGCAGUGCGGGAAUGAGCUAGUUGAUGUUUCACUCUUUGUCCUGCCUUUUUGCUUUCCACUCUCUAUGUCAUCUGUGAAAAGGAUCUUCUCAUUCAGCCAGUCUCCGGACAGAUCCUCAGCCUGCAGACAAAAUAUUGUCACCCAUCACAAUGGACUGCAGCAGCCAUGCCUCUGUGGCAGAGCGGCAGAUUUGGCCCUCUUUGGCUCAGUUCAAACGCCCAGCUCUGCUAACAGCUCCUCCUUUUGUCCACUGCAAACCACACUGGCACGCAGGCCAAAGCGCAAACAAGAGGACAAAAAGAGAAAGGAAGACAGAUAUAAAAGCCCUCCCCCCGGCUUCCUCUAAUCCAGUUAGAAGGCUGUAAAUUUGAUUGGAGUCCUGAGAGUGUGCCUUCAGCUGUCCGUCAUUAGCGAGUGCUGAGAGGGAGCUCAUACCUCAUAGCAGAGGUAAAGACUGAGAUCACAGUACAAGGAGACACACAUGUGAAAAUGGAACCGCAAAGGACAUGUUUGGAUGCUACACUGUGAGAAAAAAUCUGCAGAAAAAAAGAGAAAAGGUACUGGAAAUUAUGUGCCAGGACACUAUACGUUAAGUUUACAGACAUGUUCUUGAACUCUAAAACACAAUGCAGUGCGCAAAUUAAAAUACAGGUAAAACACCUGUGAAAAAUCAGUAUGGAUUAUUCAUUCAUAUUAACACAGUACACUGUGCCCUAUUUUUUGGUGGCAAAAAAUAUGAUGAAACCAUUCAAGUAUCAUGAUUAUUUACAGUCACUUAAAACAAUAUAAAACCUACCUAUCCUAUGCUGGUCUGCUGGUCUUAGCUGGUGUAAAACCAGCCAACAGACCAGCAUGUUCUUACAGCAAGAUGUUCUCACAGCAGGGUGGAUGAGGUGCACAUUCAAAGUCACUGUAAAAUAGUUGAAAAACACACUUGUGACUGAACAUCAAUUA
rnacentral:lncRNA from 12 species